GGGGAAUCUUCCGCAAUGGACGAAAGUCUGACGGAGCAACGCCGCGUGAGUGAUGACGGCCUUCGGGUUGUAAAGCUCUGUUAAUCGGGACGAAAGGCCUUCUUGCGAAUAGUUAGAAGGAUUGACGGUACCGGAAUAGAAAGCCACGGCUAACUACGUGCCAGCAGCCGCGGUAAUACGUAGGUGGCAAGCGUUGUCCGGAAUUAUUGGGCGUAAAGCGCGCGCAGGCGGAUUGGUCAGUCUGUCUUAAAAGUUCGGGGCUUAACCCCGUGAUGGGAUGGAAACUGCCAAUCUAGAGUAUCGGAGAGGAAAGUGGAAUUCCUAGUGUAGCGGUGAAAUGCGUAGAUAUUAGGAAGAACACCAGUGGCGAAGGCGACUUUCUGGACGAAAACUGACGCUGAGGCGCGAAAGCCAGGGGAGCGAACGGGAUUAGAUACCCCGGUAGUCCUGGCCGUAAACGAUGGGUACUAGGUGUAGGAGGUAUCGACCCCUUCUGUGCCGGAGUUAGCGCAAUAAGUACCCCGCCUGGGGAGUACGACCGCAAGGUUG
rnacentral:rRNA from 1 species